rnacentral:lncRNA from 1 species
UUGCUGGAAUAUUGCUAAAAGCUGCGUAAAACUAAACUCACUCACUCACUGUGUGUUUCAUUUGGAUAUUUUUAACCAACCUGUGUGACACAAGUCCGCUGUGUUAUCGCUGCGUCGAUAGCAGGGUGUGGUGAUUAUGUAGUUAGUAAUGCUCAUUAGCUGUGCAUUUCAUUCCAUCAUGUUUGAUGCACACAACAUGGCCGCUGUCGUCUUCAAAGAGGUCCCAUGUAGCCCGCAGGUCUGGCUGGAGAGGGACACUUGUGAUGAGCGUUUGUUCUGUAUCUGACAAGCUGACAAAAUUCCAAUCAUGUUACUCUUUCAUCUUGAAAUUACACAGCCGUUCGAAACAAUCUAAUGACAUCGUCAUUUUCUGGCAAUAGAACAUAGUUAGAUCUCGUCCCGAGAAAAGUAAUGGUGUCAGUGACAAGGCGUGCGUCUUUUGAAAAGUUCUCCACAUUUUAUCGGUUAUUAGUUUCAUCAGCUAAGAAAGUGACAGGGUCAUGUUAAAACCAGAAAUCACAAACUAAUUGAGGAAUUGUAGAACUAAGUGCAUUGUUCGUGAAGUACUCUCCUCCCAGCGUCCAAAGUAAUAUAAUAUAAUUCAGUGACACAAUUAACAGACUUAGCAAAUAUUUAUUGAAUGGCAUGAUUGUUGAAGGACAUGCAACUACAAAUUUUAAAUAUUGAUUGUGGAGGUUGGAAAUCAGUGGUUGUAGUGUGCUUUAGCUUCGCGUGCUAUGCAUCUUUUUGACUCCCACUUUUAACUCGGCUUUUUCAAAUCCAUUCCCAGUUCGUUUUUAUGAGAGAUUUUAUCAGUUAGAACUUUGUAUCUUUGCCGAACACAAUCACGAAGUCAGAUCGAAAACGACCACGUCGGAACGUUGUGUUCAGUCAAUCUGACCUGUUGCUAUUCGUAUCGCCAUCUCUGCUACAUCCCUGAGAUUACUUGGCUGAUGAAUGCAACGAACAUUAAAUAGGAAAAGAGCGGUACUUGGCAUAUAAAUGAAGCUGUAAGCGUCCUUGGUGACUAAAGGUUUCCAUGCUAACACCCUCUUGAUCGAAUACAGCUCAAUAUCACCCGACCUUUGCGACAAAUAAUCGUCUGCGUGUGGAUGCUUCUUACCGGAACGAUCGAAAACCGGUUGCAUAAAAUGGUGUAAUUCUCGAUAAUCUAGUCAAGGAGAUUUGUUUGAAUUCAGCUGUAUUGCUAAUAAGGAAUUGUGUAUUCUGUGCGGUAUUCUCUUGAUACUGUGGUUAAUUGAACAUCUUCAACCAGCAAGCAGAGCGAGAAACCAGUCCGACGAACCGUACCCAGAACACCACAGCUAUGAGAAUUGUAUGAGUGAGACUUUCUCAAACUAGCGGCUGAAAGGCUUGGCUACAUGGAUGUCGUAAAGCUGUUGCCGACUAUGACUACCUCGAACAAUAUAUUUAUCAAAAGGAAAGCAUGACGAUACAUUUAUGACAAGUAUUUGAAACAAAAGUACACAAGGCAUCACGAUGAACAAAAGCAAGACCCUCGGUGAAGGUGCUGUGAUGCGGCAACUAGAGAGCUUUAUCAAAGUCCCCGAUGUGUGCUUGCAGCUCUUUACUUUACAUACUAUGUUCCGCUCUAGAGCAGACGACACCUGCAAUGUUUUAACAGCAGUGUGACAGCUACCAUGAACUUGACAUGUGUGCAUGGGUGCCUUCACAAUCGAUUCCAAUAUCUGGUUGCCAACGACAACGAUGUGCUUCACCAUGUCCCAGAAGCAAUUGUUGAACUGUCAUUAUCAGAAGGACAAUAAAAAUCUCAAAAGCA